AGUGGCGCACGGGUGCGUAACACGUAUGCAACCUACCUAUCAUUGGGGGAUAGCCUUUGGAAACGGAGAUUAAUACCGCAUAAGACAGUAACAUGGCAUCAUGUAGCUGUUAAAGCUUUGGCGAUGAUAGAUGGGCAUGCGUCCAAUUAGUUAGUUGGUGAGGUAAUGGCUCACCAAGACGAUGAUUGGUAGGGGAUCUGAGAGGAUAAUCCCCCACACUGGCACUGAGAUACGGGCCAGACUCCUACGGGAGGCAGCAGUAGGGAAUAUUGGGCAAUGGACGGAAGUCUGACCCAGCCAUGCCGCGUGCAGGAUGAAGGCGUUAUGCGUUGUAAACUGCUUUUUUAUAGGAAGAAGGAGACCUUGCGAGGUUUGGUGACGGUACUAUAAGAAUAAGCACCGGCUAACUCCGUGCCAGCAGCCGCGGUAAUACGGAGGGUGCGAGCGUUGUCCGGAUUUAUUGGGUUUAAAGGGUGCGUAGGCGGUUUAUUAAGUCAGUGGUGAAAGACGGUCGCUCAACGAUUGCAGUGCCAUUGAUACUGGUAGACUUGAGUUCGUAUGAGGUAGCUGGAAUGGAUAGUGUAGCGGUGAAAUGCAUAGAUAUUAUCCAGAACUCCAAUUGCGUAGGCAGGUUACUAAUACGAUACUGACGCUGAUGCACGAAAGUGUGGGGAUCAAACAGGAUUAGAUACCCUGGUAGUCCACACUGUAAACGAUGAUGACUAACUGUUUGCCCUUUGGGGUGAGUGGUACAGAGAAAUCGUUAAGUCAUCCACCUGGGGAGUACGCCG
rnacentral:rRNA from 1 species